rnacentral:lncRNA from 1 species
AAAAAGGGGAUGAUGAAGAGAAGAAGGGUAUAGAGGGAAAAUGGAAAAUGUAUUUGGAAGAAAAUGGGAGAAAGGGAAUCAUGAACUCGUGAUAGUGAAAAUAGACCAUCGAAAGAAGUGAAGGAGAAGCAACAAAAGGAUGUUUAGUUGUGAAUUUGGAAUGGCUCCAAACACUCCUCACGGGGGCUUUUUAGGCUCUCCUCCACUCUCCAUCCUUUCUCACACCUCCAAUCAAACUUUUGUCUUCUUUCUCCCUCUCUCUCUCCACACGUGCCAUCAUACCCUUCUUAUCAUAUAUCACACAAACACCUAAGCUCAUUUUCAUUUUCCAUUCCCGCUUCAAACUCAAAUUAAAAUGCCAUCAUUUUGUAUUUCUAUGCUUUUCUUUCGUACAUGUUACCACUAAAAUGUAUACACACACAUAUAUAUAUACUUCCUAGCUGUUCUUCAGGUACCAUGCAGUUCCAAUAUACAGAUAAUUAGCGUCCAUUUUUAAUUAUGGCAUCACUUUUCAUGCAU